AGUGGGUUGAGUUUCUAAAAAAGUCUCCCUCCCAGGUUCCAUUUUUGGUGAAAAGGUCUUCUCGGGCACGGAUGAGCAGCUUCACUCCUCCCGCCUCACAUCUCCAGUUGCUCAGCUGUGGACAGCGGGGGCGGGGCCCACGGAAGAGGGCCUCAUCUGACACCCACCUUCCAUUUCCUUCGGCCAGAGUCUUUGCAUCCCUGAUACCCGAGUAAAAUGCAGCUGAGAGGAGUCACCUAGUUGCCCCUCGGCCCUGAGCCAGUGUUUGGUGAUAUGACCCCUCUGCUCCCCAAGCCUCAUGCCAAGUCAGCCACACUCAACACACCAUCAUCACAGGCCCCUGUGGAAAUGCGCAGAUUGCAGCCAUAGGAAGCCAUGCGGCUGUGUAAUUAUUCAGGUGAGUAGCCUAGAGCCUCUUCUCACAUGCAAAUGGUGGAGGAAUGACUCCAAGGAGCUAAAUAUGACUUUCAGGGGAAGUCUCUUGUGGUACAUUGGGUUAAAGAUCUGCUGUUGUCACUGAAGUGGCUCACUGCUGUGGCAUGGGUUCAAUCCCAGGAACUUCUACAUGCCGUAGGCAUGGCCAAGAAAAAGAGAAGAUGGCUUUCGUAAAGGUAGGAAUAUGGACUGUUUGACUUACCGCCACAUGACCAGAAUACAGAGAAGGUAGUUGAUAAAUAUGUGUUGGGGAAAAAUGAAUAAAUGAACAUACAAUAAUUUGUAUGCA
rnacentral:lncRNA from 1 species